rnacentral:rRNA from 1 species
AACGUAGGUUCCGAGCGUUAUCCGGAUUUACUGGGCGUAAAGCGCGUUCAGGCGGUUUGGCAAGUCGGGCCUGAAAUCUCUCGGCUCAACCGGGAGAGGUUGUCCGAUACUGCUGGACUUGAGGGCAGUAGAGGGUGGUGGAAUUCCGGGUGUAGUGGUGAAAUGCGUAGAUAUGUCAUAGAACACCGAUUGCGAAGGCAGCUGACGAAACUGUAACUGACACUGAGGCUCGAAAGUGUGGGGAUCAAACAGG